rnacentral:rRNA from 1 species
UACGGAGGGUGCAAGCGUUGUCCGGAAUCACUGGGUGUAAAGGGUGUGUAGGCGGGACUGUUAGUCAGAGGUGAAAGCCCACGGCCCAACCGUGGAACUGCCUUUGAUACUGCAGUUCUUGAGUCUCGGAGAGGUCAUCGGAAUUCGUGGUGUAGCGGUGAAAUGCGUAGAUAUCACGAGGAACACCAGAGGCGUAGGCGGAUGACUGGACGAGUACUGACGCUGAGGCACGAAAGCGUGGGGAGCAAACAGG